rnacentral:rRNA from 1 species
UACGGAGGGUGCGAGCGUUGUCCGGAAUCACUGGCGUAAAGGGCGCGUAGGUGGCGCGAGUAGUCAACGGUGAAAGCCCGGGGCUCAACCCCGGGUCGGCCGAUACUGGCAGGCUAGAGUACAGAAGAGGUAACUGGAAUUCCCGGUGUAGCGGUGAAAUGCGCAGAUAUCAGGAGGAACACCGAUGGCGAAGGCAGGUCUCUGGGCCACUACUGACGCUGAGAAGCGAAAGCGUGGGGAGCGAACAGG